AGCGAACGCUGGCGGCAGGCCUAACACAUGCAAGUCGAGCGCCGUAGCAAUACGGAGCGGCAGACGGGAGAGUAACACGUGGGAACGUACCCUUUGGUUCGGAACAACCCAGGGAAAAUUGGGCUAAUACCGGAUAAGCCCUCACGGGGAAAGAUUUAUCGCCGAAGGAUCGGCCCGCGUCUGAUUAGCUAGUUGGUGGGGUAAUGGCCCACCAAGGCGACGAUCAGUAGCUGGUCUGAUAGGAUGAUCAGCCUCACUGGGACUGAGACACGGCCCAGACUCCUACGGGAGGCAGCAGUGGGGAAUAUUGGACAAGGGGCGCAAGCCUGAUCCAGCCAUGCCGCGUGGGUGAUGAAGGCCCUAGGGUUGUAAAGCCCUUUCGGCGGGGAAGAUAAUGACGGUACCCGCAGAAGAAGCCCCGGCUAACUUCGUGCCAGCCGCCGCGGUAACAC
rnacentral:rRNA from 1 species